AGUGAACGCUGGCGGUAGGCCUAACACGUGCAAGUCGAACGGCAGCACAGUAAGAGCUUGCUCUUACGGGUGGCGAGUGGCGGACGGGUGAGGAAUACAUCGGAAUCUACUUUUUCGUGGGGGAUAACGUAGGGAAACUUACGCUAAUACCGCAUACGACCUACGGGUGAAAGCAGGGGAUCUUCGGACCUUGCGCGAUUGAAUGAGCCGAUGUCGGAUUAGCUAGUUGGCGGGGUAAAGGCCCACCAAGGCGACGAUCCGUAGCUGGUCUGAGAGGAUGAUCAGCCACACUGGAACUGAGACACGGUCCAGACUCCUACGGGAGGCAGCAGUGGGGAAUAUUGGACAAUGGGCGCAAGCCUGAUCCAGCUAUACCGCGUGGGUGAAGAAGGCCUUCGGGUUGUAAAGCCCUUUUGUUGGGAAAGAAAAGCAGCAGGUUAAUACCCCGCUGUUCUGACGGUACCCAAAGAAUAAGCACCGGCUAACUUCGUG
rnacentral:rRNA from 1 species